AGCAUUAUUUUUUAUUUACAACAUAUAACUUUUAUUUACAAAAUCUAUCAACUAUUUAGAGAUCAUCUUGUAUUAAAAAUUCUAACCCUUUUCUCACAUUAUUUUUCUUUCUCAUACAAAAAUUAAAAAAAUCAAAACAAACUUCUUUCCUUCCUCAAAUUCCCAAGGCCCAACCAGAAAACACAUAUCUAAAUCCUUAGUUUUUAAUACCUUAGAAAUCAUGAAAGUUUGCCUUUCUCAACGGGGAUAUCAUAAAAUUGAUUAGACUAAUAUAGGAUUCCUUCCUCAUACAAUAUUAUAGCCCUAAACGGAAGUGCAACAGUCAAGGCCAGCAUUGUUUCUUGCAACAACUCCGGCAAGCGAUCUGUCCGAUUACAUCGAGCAAAUUGCCGGAUUCCAG
rnacentral:lncRNA from 1 species